UUAAACGGCCGCGGUAUCCUAACCGUGCAAAGGUAGCAUAAUCACUUGUCCCCUAAAUAGGGACUAGAAUGAACGGCUACAUGAGGACUAACCUGUCUCUUGCAUUUAAUCAAUGAAACUGAUCUUCCAGUCCAAAAGCUGGAAUACUCCCAUAAGACGAGAAGACCCUGUGGAGCUUAUUAAACCAAACCCACCACUAUGGACACUUGGUUUUUAGUUGGGGCGACUUCGGAGUAUAAAAAACCCUCCAAAUACCCAUUAAAAGAUUAACAUAUCGGUACCCCGCCUGACCCAGCAAUAUUUCUACCUACUGCCUGAUCAAUGAACCAAGUUACCCCAGGGAUAACAGCGCUAUCCUCUUCAAGAGUCCCCAUCGACAAGAGGGUUUACGACCUCGAUGUUGGAUCAGGACAUCCAAAUAGUGCACCCGCUAUUAAUGGUUCGUUUGUUCAACGAUUAA
rnacentral:rRNA from 1 species